UUAUUUUACCAUACUGAUUAUAAUAUGGAUGUUGAUCCAUCCUUCGAACGUAACUUUUAUUUGAUUUAUUUCAACUUGUAUUUGAUUCUUACUUUGCACGGGAUCAUGUGUUAUAUACCUUCUAGCGACUAUAUAACGUAACCAGUGUUAAUUUAUAUUUUUGAUAAAACUUUUUUUUUGAUUCUCAUGUUGUUGGGCAUUUAUUUUGCAAUCGGCAUUAUUACUUAUAAAUUAUAAUAUAUUUUUUAUUCGUUUAAUAUUUCAUUAAUGGUAUUAAUAUUGUAUAAUACCUCAGUAUGCAUCAUAUACAUUCUAAAGAUAAUAAUUUUUUAUUUGAACUUUAUUGUUGUAUAUAAUCAUGAUUUUCAAAUUAUUGUACCUAAUGAUGUAAUCAUUCCUAUAAAACCCUUGAGGGACGUUCAUUGUCUAGCAACUGAUCUCACCUUUGUAUGGAAUACAUACGGCCACGUGUAAUCCGAUGUUAUGAAAAUGGAUCAACGAUAUAUCAUUGUACUUUUGUAUGGAGCUGAAGCUCGGGUAAAACCGCCUUGAAAAUUGUUCACUUAAAUAGUUUUUCCUUAUACAAUCAGAUAGACUAUUAAUAUAGAUAUUAAUAAUUAAAAUGAGAAAAUCAAUAAAAACUAGUUCACUGUACAAUAUAAAUUAUUGUAACAUAUUUAUUUAUUUAUUUUUUAUCCUAAUAUUCUUAAUUUACAUCACUAGAACGAGUAUCAAUACAUAAUUUGUUUAUUAUAUAUAAUAUGUUUGAUAUGUAGGUAAUUCAUGAUUAAUUUAUUUAAGCAUAUGUUAUAAUUGUUUACAUAUGGUUUAAAUAUUCACUUAAUAAUAUAUUAUUAUAGAUCUACAUCGGAAUUAAAUUGAAAUAAUAGACUUAAGAAAAACGUAAUCAAUAUGAUACGCUAUGAAUAAAAUUUAAAAAUUAUUUUUGUUAGUGAAAUUAAGUACAUUUAUGAGUAUGUAAUUGGUAACAUAAGUUAUUAUUAUUGCAGGUUGGUUUUAAACCGAAUCACAAAGCUCGAUAAACAUAAAAUAACAAUAAUGUGAAUAUACCAAAAUAUAAAUAAAUUAUACGCUAUGAAUCUAAAAAUACAAUCAUAAUAUAAA